AGAGUUGAUUAUGGCUCAGGAUGAACGCUAGCUAGAGGCUUAACACAUGCAAGUCGAGGGGCAGCAUGACGAUAGCUUGCUAUUGUUGAUGGCGACCGGCGCACGGGUGAGUAACGCGUAUCCAACCUUCCCUAUAGUAGAGGAUAGCCCGGCGAAAGUCGGAUUAAUACUCUAUGUUUUCCAAUGAGGACAUCUAAAAUGGAACAAAGGUUUACCGCUAUAGGAUGGGGAUGCGUCUGAUUAGGUUGUUGGCGGGGUAACGGCCCACCAAGCCUACGAUCAGUAGGGGUUCUGAGAGGAAGGUCCCCCACAUUGGAACUGAGACACGGUCCAAACUCCUACGGGAGGCAGCAGUGAGGAAUAUUGGUCAAUGGGCGAGAGCCUGAACCAGCCAAGUAGCGUGCAGGAUGACGGCCCUAUGGGUUGUAAACUGCUUUUAUAUAGGGAUAAAGUGACCCACGUGUGGGUUUUUGUAGGUACUAUAUGAAUAAGGACCGGCUAAUUCCGUGCCAGCAGCCGC
rnacentral:rRNA from 1 species